GGACUACUGGGGUAUCUAAUCCUGUUUGCUACCCACGCUUUCGCGUCUCAGCGUCAGUAUCCGUCCAGAUGGCCGCCUUCGCCACCGGUGUUCCUCCCGAUAUCUACGAAUUUCACCUCUACUUCGGGAAUUCCGCCAUCCUCUCCGGUACUCGAGCUCUGCAGUUUCGGGCGCACUUCCUUGGUUGAGCCAAGGGCUUUCACACCCGACUUGCAAAGCCGCCUACUCGCGCUUUACGCCCAAUAAUUCCGAACAACGCUUGCACCCUCUGUAUUACCGCGGCUGCUGGCAC
rnacentral:rRNA from 1 species